rnacentral:lncRNA from 1 species
CUGGUGCUCACUUGUUUUUUUUUCUCUCAAAGUUUCCAGCACUUACAUGACAGACAAAUGGUAACUAGGUGUUUCCAUGCCUGGAGGGACCACAUCGUCUGGAAGAGGGCUGCAGCAAGGCAGCAGCAGCAGCCUCAAAAGGCCCUUGAUGUAGCCCAGCAGAGAUGUGCCUCAGCUCUUUUAGCUGCCAGCUUCCGCAAGUGGAAGGAAGCUGUGACAAAACAGAGCCAAAAACAAGCUGCACAGUCUGAGUCAUAUUCGUAUACCCAAAGUUCAUCAGUGGGUUUUUCUGGAAUAGGAAGAUUAGCAACUAUGACAACCUCAGCUCAGCACCAGCUUACAGAAGGAUACAUGAAGGAAGCUGAGCAGGCUUGUAGGGUGGAGAGCGAACUGUGGACACAGCUUCAUCGCAGGCAGAGAGGAGAUGAGUUCUAUUGGAGAGCUCAAGCAAUAAGAGAUGUGAGACGCCUAGCUGCUUUCAGACUGUGGCGCCUUCAGAAGGAGCUGCUGAGCAAUGAGGAAGGCAAGCUGCUGGAAGCAUAUGCCCUGAUGGAAAAGAAGAGGCUACAAAACAUUUUCCAGGUGUGGCAGUCCCGAUACUUGGAAAAGAAAAAGAUUUUAGGGCUGACAAUUCAGAUCCAAAGAAACUUGGUCUCCCGGUGCUUCAGUGCAUGGAAAGAGGCUGUUGAGCUAAAGGCAUAUUACAAGAGCAGCCUGACACAUCUCAGAGUAGAAUCAAAGAAGAAAUUCUUCCAGCAGUGGUUUCAAAUGUUGCAGGUCAGAAAAAGCAAUAAGCAGGCAAUGGUGAAACUCCUCCUUCUGAGAUGGAGGCAGCAUUAUGGUGAGUGUCAUGGGGCUUGCAGAACAUCUAAGAUUUGGAAUUGCUGA